rnacentral:rRNA from 1 species
UACAGAGGUCUCAAGCGUUGUUCGGAUUCAUUGGGCGUAAAGGGCGCGUAGGCGGCGGGGUAAGUCUGGUGUGAAAUCUCGGAGCUCAACUCCGAAAUUGCACUGGAUACUGCUCUGCUUGAGGGUUGGAGAGGAGAUCGGAAUUCACGGUGUAGCAGUGAAAUGCGUAGAUAUCGUGAGGAAGACCAGUGGCGAAGGCGGGUCUCUGGACAGUUCCUGACGCUGAGGCACGAAGGCCAGGGGAGCAAACGGG